rnacentral:rRNA from 1 species
CCUACGGGAGGCAGCAGUGGGGAAUAUUGCACAAUGGGGGGAACCCUGAUGCAGCGACGCCGCGUGAGCGAUGAAGUAUUUCGGUAUGUAAAGCUCUAUCAGCAGGGAAGAAAAUGACGGUACCUGACUAAGAAGCCCCGGCUAACUACGUGCCAGCAGCCGCGGUAAUACGUAGGGGGCAAGCGGUAUCCGGAUUUACUGGGUGUAAAGGGAGCGUAGACGGCAGUGCAAGUCUGGAGUGAAAGGCAUGGGCUCAACCAGUGGACUGCUUUGGAAACUGUGCGGCUGGAGUGUCGGAGAGGCAAGUGGAAUUCCUAGUGUAGCGGUGAAAUGCGUAGAUAUUAGGAGGAACACCAGUGGCGAAGGCGGCUUACUGGACGGUAACUGACGUUGAGGCUCGAAAGCGUGGGGAGCAAACAGGAUUAGAUACCCCAGUAGUC